AUUGAACGCUGGCGGCAGGCUUAACACAUGCAAGUCGAACGAGUGGCGGACGGGUGAGUAAUGUAUGGGGAUCUGCCCGAUAGCGGGGGAUAACUACUGGAAACGGUGGCUAAUACCGCAUACUAUCGGAUGAACCCAUAUGGGAUUAGCUAGUAGGUGGGGUAAAGGCUCACCUAGGCGACGAUCUCUAGCUGGUCUGAGAGGAUGAUCGGCCGAACGGGAACAGAGACACGGCCCAGACUCCUACGGGAGGCAGCGGUGGGGAAUAUGUGACAAGGGGCGCAAGCCUGAUGCAGCCAUGCCGCGUGUAUGAAGAAGGCCUUAGGGUUGUAAAGUACUUUCAGCGGGGAGGCGUUACCCGCAGAAGAAGCACCGGCUAACUCCGUGCCAGCAGCCGCGGUAAUAC
rnacentral:rRNA from 1 species